rnacentral:lncRNA from 1 species
CAUUUAGAGCAAAUCUGACAGGGUAAUAUUGUUUAUCAGGUCAAGAUCUAUCUGCCCUGAAAUUUUCAGAUGAAUCAGACAACCUGUUGUUGGGUUGCUGCCCCUGAAUUGGUAAUUUUAAGGAAAUUUUGCUGUUUUUGGUUAUUAUCUUGAAUAUUAUUAUAGAUAGAGAUAAACUGUAAACAGGAAUAAUGUUCAGCAAAGUAAGAUUUACAAAUAAGUCAACAUGAGGAAAAUGGUCAGUUGACCCCUUUAGGAGUUAUUGCCCUUUAUAGUCAAUUUUUAACCAUUUUUAGUAAAUCUUAGUAAUCUUUUACAAAAAUCUUCUCCUCUGAAACUACUGGGCCAAAUACUUCCAAACUUUAAUUUAAUGUUCCUUAGGGUAUCUAGUUUGUAAAUUGUAUCCGAAGUUAUGAUCUAUCAACAAACAUGGUCGCCAUUGCUAAAAAUAGAACAUAGGUGUCAAAUGCAGUUUUUGGCUUAUAACUCAAAAACCAAAGCAUUUAGAGCAAAUCUGACAUGGGGUUAUAUUGUUUAUCAGUUCAAGA